UACAGGGGGGGGCAAGCGUUGUUCGGAAUUACUGGGCGUAAAGCGCGCGUAGGCGGACCUGCAAGUCGGGGGUGAAAGCCCGAGGCUCAACCUCGGAACUGCCUUCGAUACUGCGGGUCUCGAGUCCGGGAGAGGUGAGUGGAAUUCCUAGUGUAGAGGUGAAAUUCGUAGAUAUUAGGAAGAAACACCAGUGGCGAAGGCGGCUCACUGGCCCGGUACGUGGACGCU
rnacentral:rRNA from 1 species